AUGAAACACUCCUACGGGAGGCAGCAGUGGGGAAUCUUGCGCAAUGCGCGAAAGCGUGACGCAGCAACGCCGCGUGGGGGAAGAAGGCCUUCGGGUUGUAAACCCCUUUCAGGAGGGACGAAGGUCGGGCGGUGAAUAGCCGACCCGACUGACGGUACCUCCAGAAGAAGCCCCGGCUAACUACGUGCCAGCAGCCGCGGUAAUACGUAGGGGGCAAGCGUUGUCCGGAAUUAUUGGGCGUAAAGAGCGUGUAGGCGGUCCGGUAAGUCGGCUGUGAAAGUCCAGGGCUCAACCCUGGGAUGCCGGUCGAUACUGCCGGACUAGAGUUCGGAAGAGGCGAGUGGAAUUCCCGGUGUAGCGGUGAAAUGCGCAGAUAUCGGGAGGAACACCUAUGGCGAAGGCAGCUCGCUGGGACGUUACUGACGCUGAGACGCGAAAGCGUGGGGAGCAAACAGGAUUAGAAACCCUAGUAGUCCGAAGUUC
rnacentral:rRNA from 1 species